GACGAACGCNGGCGGCGUGCUUAACACAUGCAAGUCGAACGAAGAGCGAUGGAAGCUUGCUUCUAUCAAUCUUAGUGGCGAACGGGUGAGUAACGCGUAAUCAACCUGCCCUUCAGAGGGGGACAACAGUUGGAAACGACUGCUAAUACCGCAUACGAUCUAAUCUCGGCAUCGAGGAUAGAUGAAAGGUGGCCUCUACAUGUAAGCUAUCACUGAAGGAGGGGAUUGCGUCUGAUUAGCUAGUUGGAGGGGUAACGGCCCACCAAGGCGAUGAUCAGUAGCCGGUCUGAGAGGAUGAACGGCCACAUUGGGACUGAGACACGGCCCAGACUCCUACGGGAGGCAGCAGUGGGGAAUCUUCCGCAAUGGACGAAAGUCUGACGGAGCAACGCCGCGUGAGUGAUGACGGCCUUCGGGUUGU
rnacentral:rRNA from 1 species